AUUGAACGCUGGCGGCAGGCCUAACACAUGCAAGUCGAACGAGUGGCGGACGGGUGAGUAAUGUCUGGGAAACUGCCUGAUGGAGGGGGAUAACUACUGGAAACGGUAGCUAAUACCGCAUACCAUCAGAUGUGCCCAGAUGGGAUUAGCUGGGUGGUGGGGUAACGGCUCACCAAGGCGACGAUCCCUAGCUGGUCUGAGAGGAUGACCAGCCACACUGGGAACGAGAAACGGGCCAGACCCCCACGGGAGGCAGCAGUGGGGAAUAUUGCACAAUGGGCGCAAGCCUGAUGCAGCCAUGCCGCGUGGAUGAAGAAGGCCUUCGGGUUGUAAAGUACUUUCAGCGGGGAGGCGUUACCCGCAGAAGAAGCACCGGCUAACUCCGUGCCAGCCGCCGCGGUAAUAC
rnacentral:rRNA from 1 species